GACGUAGGGUGCGAGCGUUGUCCGGAUUUAUUGGGCGUAAAGAGCUCGUAGGCGGUUCGUCGCGUCGGCUGUGAAAUCCCGAGGCUCAACCUCGGGUCUGCAGUCGAUACGGGCGGACUGGAGUUCGGCAGGGGAGACUGGAAUUCCUGGUGUAGCGGUGAAAUGCGCAGAUAUCAGGAGGAACACCGGUGGCGAAGGCGGGUCUCUGGGCCUUACCUGACGCUGAGGAGCGAAAGCGUGGGGAGCGAACAGG
rnacentral:rRNA from 1 species